GAGAUCAGGACAUUAUUACAAUACGCAUUGCACGAUCUAGUUAGCGAAUACGAUAUUGUACGGUUUGCAAAGCGGGGAGACUAUGGCUAAAAUUGGACUUAAUUUGUUUUUCAUUCUGUCAGUUUCCUGCCUGGCCAGUAAAGCUUUUGGGAAAGCAAGCGCAGAAAGUUUAUAUGAAUCGUUGUCAUGGAGGAUAGAUUACGUGAUUCGAGACGUAAACAAUCUGAGGUCAGAAUUGAUGGAAACAAAGUCUGUUGUGAACAGACUAGAAAGUAAGAUAGAAAAGAUCGAAGAAAACGCAACAGCUACUAUCAUCGGUAGAAAUAAAAAUGAAGAAAAAAUUUCUCAAUCCAUUAUAAAUGAUAAAAUAAAGGCAGUUGAAGAAAGGACUGAAUCUUUGAUCAAAAAUCAAAUCAAGAGACAAAAAGUGGCAGUGAUGAAAAUCCUUUUCGAAAACAAAAAGCUCAUGAGAGAAAAAGUACAAAAUUUUGAAAGCAAAUUUAUAAUGUUUACAUCUGAUAUUAAAUUUCAAAUGGAACUAAUGAAUGCCUCAAUGGAAAGCUCUGUGGACAGCCUAGAACAAUCAAUGACUGAACACAAGAUAGACACUAAUUCUUCGCUCAUGUUGAUGAAUGCCUCAAUAAAAAACUCUGUGGAAAGCCUAGAACAAUUAAUGAAUGAACACAAGAUAGACACUAAUUCUUCGCUCAUGUUAAUGAACGCUGAUUCUCAUGAUAGGUUAAACGAAACGAACCUGAAGCUAGAAGUAAUGAGGGUUGAAUUCCAAAACAUGAAGGAUGAUUCGGACACUAAAAUCGAAAUGACAAAGAACGAAAUUGAAAAUAAAACGAACUCAGUUCUGCAAAAUGCGACAAGCGGGAUCAACGAUCGUUUGAAUGAUGCAGAGAGUCGAAUAAGGUCAAUGUCAUCAGAAAAUCAAGAAGUGGUAAAUGGCCGAUGGUCGCCCUGGAGUAGUUGGUCAUCCUGUUCUGUUACUUGUGGUGUUGGAAUGAAGGAAAGAACGAGAAGAUGUGAUAAUCCCGCCCCGUCAAGACUUGGACAAGCAUGCAUUGGCAGUUCAGAGGAUAAAGAAAUAUGCACCAUGAAUAAAUGCCCAUUUUCAGUGCGUCUUGUAAAUGGCCCACAUGCGUUUGAAGGGAGGUUGGAAGUGUACAAUGAUGGGCAGUGGGGGACAGUAUGCGAUGAUGGCUUCGACAAUGAUGCUGCAAAGGUUGUUUGCAGAAUGCUUGAUUUCCCAGGAGACGUGAAUCUAGCCGAGAAAUAUUCAGCAGCACAUUACGGCAGAGGAUCAUUGCCAAUCUUACUUGAUGAUGUUUCUUGCAAUGGUUCAGAAUUAAGCAUAACUGAUUGCUCACACAACGCAUGGAGUUUACACAACUGUAAUCAUGGAAAAGAUGUUGGUGUAGCAUGCCGUUCGCCUCCUGUACGCCUCGUAGAUGGACCACAUAGGUACGAAGGUAGACUUGAGAUUUAUCACAACGGAGAGUGGGGAGUUGUAUGUGACGAUUCUAUCAAUGACAAGGCGGCAAGGGUUGUCUGUAGGAUGCUUAAUUUUCCGGGAGACAUGAAUCUAGCCCAGAAAUAUUCAGGAGCUCAUUAUGGCGAGGGAUCAUUGCCGAUGUUACCGGUUGAUGUUUCUUGCAAUGGUUCAGAGUUACGCAUAACUGAUUGCUCACAAAAAGCAUCGGUGUCAUACAACUGUAGUCACAGAGAAUAUGUUGGGGUAGCAUGUCAUCCACUUUCAGUGCGUCUUGUAAAUGGCCCACAUGCGUUUGAAGGGAGGUUGGAAGUGUACAAUGAUGGGCAGUGGGGGACAGUAUGCGAUGAUGGCUUCGACAAUGAUGCUGCAAAGGUUGUUUGCAGAAUGCUUAAUUUCUCAGGAGACGUGAAUCUAGCCGAGAAAUAUUCAGCAGCACAUUACGGAAGAGGAUCAUUGCCAAUCUUACUUGAUGAUGUUUCUUGCAAUGGUUCAGAAUUAAGCAUAACUGAGUGCUCACACAACGCAUGGAGUUUACACAACUGUAAUCAUGGAGAAGAUGUUGGUGUAGCAUGCCGCUCGCCUUCUGUACGCCUCGUAGAUGGACCACAUAGGCACGAAGGUAGACUUGAGAUUUAUCACAACGGAGAGUGGGGAGUUGUUUGUAACGAUUCUAUCAAUGACAAUGCGGCAAGUGUUGUCUGUAGGAUGCUUAAUUUUCCGGGAGACAUGAAUCUAGCCCAGAAAUAUUCAGCUCAUUAUGGCGAGGGAUCAUUGCCGAUAUUACCGGUUGAUGUUUCUUGCAAUGGUUCAGAGUUACGCAUAACUGAUUGCUCACAAAAAGCAUUGGGGUCAUACAGCUGUAGUCACAGAGAAUAUGUUGGUGUAGCAUGUCAUCCACUUCCAGUGCGACUUGUAAAUGGACCACAUUGGUACGAAGGCAGACUUGAGAUUUAUCACAAUGGAGAGUGGGGAACUGUAUGUGACGAUUAUUUCAGGGACAGUGCGGCAAGGGUUGUCUGUCGGAUGCUUAAUUUUCCGGGAGACGUGAAUCAAGCCGCACACUAUUCAAGAGCAAAAUAUGGCGAGGGAUCAUUGCCGAUCUUACUUGAUGAUGUUAUUUGCUCUGGUUCAGAAUUAAGCAUAACUGAUUGCUCACACAACGCAUGGGGGUCACACAACUGUGGACAUACAGAAGAUGUUGGUGUUACAUGUCUCCGGGCUCCUGUACGCCUCGUAGAUGGACCACAUAGGCACGAAGGUAGACUUGAGAUUUAUCACAAAGGAAAGUGGGGAGCUGUUUGUGGCGAUUCUUUCAAUGACAAUGCGGCAAGAGUUGUCUGUCGGAUGCUUAUUCCUACGGGCUGAUACGAAGGGUCACCAGGAAUCGAAAUGUUAUCUAUCUUUGGAUCGGAUACCUUAAAUGCUGUGUAAGGGCUUGCUGUUCGUCUUGCUGGAGGAAGUUCAGACAGCGGUCGUGUGGAGAUAUCUUUGGAUGGAUCAACCUGGGGUACUGUGUGUAACGAUUAUUUUACCGACAAUGGUGCUAAAGUGGUUUGCAGAAUGUUGGGACU
rnacentral:misc_RNA from 1 species